rnacentral:rRNA from 1 species
AUUGAACGCUAGCGGGAGGCCUAACACAUGCAAGUCGAACGAGUGGCGGACGGGUGAGUAAUGUCUCGGAACGUGCCUAAUGGAGGGGGAUAACUACUGGCAAGAGUAGCUAAUACCGCAUACCAUCGGAGCGGCCCAGAUUGGAUGAGCUAGUAGGUGGGGUAAAGGCUCACCUAGGCAACGAUCCGUAGCUGGUUUGAGAGGAUGACCAGCCACACUGGAACUGAGACACGGCCCAGACUCCUACGGGAGGCAGCAGUGGGGAAUAUUGGACAAUGGGGGAAAGCCUGAUCCAGCCAUGCCGCGUGUAUGAUGAAGGCCUUCGGGUGGUAAAGUACUUUUGGCGGAGAAGCGGUAUCUGCAGAAUAAGCACCGGCUAACUACGUGCCAGCAGCCGCGGUAAUAC